AAUAAAAAUCGGGGUUGUUGCUGCCUUUUUUUUGUGUGGUGACGCUUCGGAAUUGGGUUUUUCUUUACCCUUCGGGUUAAGUGACCUAAAAUUUUGCAUGAUUUUUUCGAACGUAUUUGAAUUUUUUUACGUACGUUUGUGAUAAAUCGAAUAUAUUAGGUGUGGUCAUCCUCAUGAUUUCACGUCUAUAAUUUUUUUUUCAUU
rnacentral:misc_RNA from 1 species